GGAUGUGGUAGGGAGCUGGACAUGUCAUCUUGAGAUACCUCCCUCAAAAGCACUGCAGAUCUCCAUGACAUGGUUGAUAAAAUGGAUCAAUUCCCCAAUCAAUGUAUAAGGUUGGCAGAAGCUGGGGCUAACAGCAGGAGAUCACCCCACUCCCUGGAUUCGAACCACGACCUUUCAGCAAGUUCUGCAGCUCAGUGGUUUAAUCUGCUGCACCACUGCCAAUAAAUAUAUUGUCAUAUGUUGGACAAAACAAGGCCGGGCUCCUUGGAGGAAGAACAGGACAGAAAUGCAGUGAAUAGUAAGAUGAAUUAUAGAGUCAUCACUUAUAAGAAGCAGGCAGUACUGUUGUGGCAA